GGGGCUUUAGCUCAGCGGCAUAAGCGCCUGCCUUGAAAGCAGGCAGUCGUGAGUUCAAUCCCCG
rnacentral:tRNA from 1 species